AACGGUUGUUUCACGGCAAAGUGACGGGAGUGGCAUAAGAGUACACGAAAAGCUGAAGCAGUGGCAUAGAAAAAAAAUAGAGAAUUUUCAAUGGUAUAUAGGGAAACCAGUGAACUUUGAGUGGCAUAUAAGGAAUUUUCUCAUUUUAAUAAGACGGACGGUCAAACAUAAACAUAAGCUGUGCAAAAAUAGGCUCCGG
rnacentral:lncRNA from 1 species